ACUCCUACGGGAGGCAGCAGUGGGGAAUUUUGGACAAUGGGCGAAAGCCUGAUCCAGCCAUACCGCGUGCGGGAAGAAGGCCUUCGGGUUGUAAACCGCUUUUGUCAGGGAAGAAAUGCUUCGGGCUAAUACCCUGAGGUGAUGACGGUACCUGAAGAAUAAGCACCGGCUAACUACGUGCCAGCAGCCGCGGUAAU
rnacentral:rRNA from 1 species